UUAACAAAUACCACAGAAAAGGAAGCAAAAAGGGAAAAUGAGAGACAGAGUGGAGGGGAGAGUGGGGCCUGGGAGCUGAGGAGGCUUCACUGAAGAGCUUGAGUUCAUUGAUUGAUUGAUUGAUUUGUUCUUGAUUAGCCAACACCCUCCUGGGUGCAAAGCUCUAUCUGAAGUGCUGGGAAAGCCCCAGAGGAGCAUUAGACCCGCUCCUCAAGGAGCAUGUGAAUGGGUUGCAGGUGUCUAUAACUUAAGUCUGUUUUUCCAAAUCCUUUUAACGAGGGGCAGCUGCAAAUCCGCUUCUCCUUAAUCCCCUUCUGCCUCUUCCUUCCUGGAUUCUACAGCCCCACCCACAGAAACUCAGUCUCUCUUCAAUGGGCCAAGUGGAACUGUGCCUUUAAAGCCCCAGAGGCUGCUGGCUUUUUCCCUACCCUAUAGAGGUUCUGGGGUGUUAUUUCCUCUAGGCUGGCGAGAGAAGAUGGUAGCUGUUCCCUGGGGGUUUGGUGAGUGGGGCCUGGGAUUAUUCCUUGGUUAUCUUAUCUUUUGUUCAUUCAUCCAAUUGUGUUUAUUGAGGAUUUAUAUUGUACAAAGCCUUCUCCUAAGUGCUUGGUUGAUAAUCAACACCUAUUGAAAUGGUGAUGCUAAUAGGUUUAUUUUGAUGGCUCAGAACGGACUUGGGGCAAUUUAAGGCUGAGCUCAUUGAUUUUGACUAUCUCGGUGAGGGGGUGGCUUGUAGCGGGCUUUGGUUUUCUCUGGAAGAUUCAGAAAUGACUGUGGUCUGUUUAGGCUUGCGAUACCUGGUGACUGGACUGGUUUUGGUAUUUUGGCGUGGGAGAUAAGGCUAGGAUUGAGGAAGAGAAGUGGCGGGUUGAUUGGGACAACAAAAUUCCUCUGGAAUAGAGGAAAUGGAGAGGUUGUGAUGCCAUAAAGUAUUUUAUACUCUGUGUUUAGAGAUGACAGUUUGCUUUGGGGGAGAAAGGGAUGGGGCAGAAACCAUGGGAUGCAUGCGGGGGGGUGCAUGCUAAUUGUCUGUGUGUGUGUCUGUCAUUGUGUUCUGUUCGGUGUGCUCUGGCCAGCCCCUAGGUAGCUACGAUUUCCCCCUAUACUAUAAAUUCACAAAGGCCAGUGUCCUUCCCCACAUGGGACCCUGCGCCUGGGAUGAGGUAGAAGGUGCUGAGGUGCUUCUGCAAGGCUUGUGAGCCCCCUUAUCAUCCCCAAAGGGUUGCACAUCCAGCUCCUAUCCACUGGAAACUUCACCCGGCCCUCCAUCAUCCUCCUUGGAUUCAGCGCCGUGCGUUGGUCGCGGAAGCGUCGGUAUCAUAACAUCAGAUUGUGAGCCCCCACCCCGGGCAGGAACCGAGACCCGUCGGCCGUAGAGGGGUGGGGUGGCAGUACCGCCUUGCGCCCCUCUAGGGCUUUUAAACAGGAAGCCCCUCUGAAGGCAGCAUUGAGCCGACCUCAGCUGUCUAGGUGGGGACUCUCUCUCUCUUUGGGCUUCCCAAUUCCUCUACCCCAAGAUCCAACUUGCGCCUUCACCCCUGUGGGACUCCAUUAUGACGCCUCAAAAGCCCAACACUGAUUUGGUGUUCACUAACCACACGUGUGGAAUAGACUGGAAGCUCGUUUUGGGCAGGGGAAUGUGUCUGUUGUUCACUUGUACUCGCCCAAGUCUCUUAAAGAGUGCUCUGCACUCAAUAAACAUGACGGACUGAUGUGGAGCACCACAAACACAAGCACUGUUGUAGCAGCAGAAGCUGAGUCUCCUCCCCCACACCACAAGUAUUGAUUGAGGCAGAGCACUGUACUGAGCGCCUGGGAAACUGAGUUCCAAAGUGUAAAUCUCUCCUUGAGUUGUAACCUAGUCUGCAGAAUAUUUCCAGAUGACUCGUCGUGGCUCCUACUUAAAUGGGUGUAAUUUAUAUCUAUUAUCUUCCUUCCUCCUCUAGAUGGUAAACUCCAUAAUGGACAGGGAAUCUAUCUGUUGAUGGUGAUAUUGUGCUCCGUUCACGGGAAGUGAGGGGUAAAUACGAGGGACUGACUGAAACGGUUGUCCUUCGCAAUAGAGGCCUCUCCCCCCAUCCUCCUCAUGGUCUAGUGCUCUGUCAAAUAGCGUUCAAUAAACACUAUAGAUGUCUUAAUGCAAUCCUGCCAUCUUCUGCUGUACGUACUCAUUUACUCUGUUUUUCAUCUACUCGUACUGCCGAUUUGAGCUUGGGUUCAGCGUGCGAAGCUUCACGUACCGACCUUGUAUAUGCCUUUCCACCUGUGUGUACCUGUUUGAACGUCUGUCACGGAAUCGAUGCUUCUUUAGUGCGGGGGCCACGUAUGCUAUGUAGUGUUGAACGCUUGGAAGCGUUCAAACUGUGGUUUUUUUCAAAGUCAAUGUUUCCCCUUCUAGGCUUGUUUUGGGUAGGGCUGGUGUCUUUUUAAAUUUUUCUAAUCUAUGCUCCCAAGGGUGUAGUACAGUGCUCUGCACAGAGGAAGAGCUCAAAUCCCAUCACUUGACGGAAUGAGUGACUUAGAUUGUGAGCUCCCAGUGGGCAGGGACUGUGUCUCUUCCACCCAGCUGAACAAAGAGGGUGCUUAAUGAGGGGUGGUCUCGCCCAAGUGAGACCAAACCUGGAGCAGGGAAGAAGGGCAAGCGUGAAGGAUCAGACUGGCGCUCGGUAAGUGUCCGGGGCCUUGACUGCAUGAAGAGAAAGGGCAGAAGCCCAGCUUCUUUCUGCCGCCAUGGAGAAGUUUUCCAGACCAUCCUGCUCAGAGUGAUCACGCAGGCAUCAGUCCAGCUGAAGGAUGAGGACACAGAUGGAUGGAGCUGGGCCCAGGAGGCAGCACCCCCUGACCCGAGGAAGGAGGCAGAGUGAGAUUGCCCUGAGUCCUGACUAGGUGUAUACUUAAGGCCAUGGAAGGAGCCUGAGCCCCAGAUGCAUCACGGGAGACCAGGACCCCUCAUCUAUCCCUGCCUCCCCAAGGACCGCGUGGUGGGGACAGGAUGGAAGCUGCAGCGCGGACCCGAACCGGACCAGUGGCCCACGUGGACAGUGGAGGACUAACCGGCCCCUCGUGGGAUGCCGCGAGCACUGCACCGUCCCCGUGAGGGAGUCGGUGGGCCCCAGCCUGCUGCCCCCUGGACACCCUCUCCCGCCCCAAGCCCAAGAUUGUAUCCCCUUCCUCCAGACAAUGCCAUUUCCUUUGGGGAAGGGUCAAGGGUCAAACACCGCAUCGUGGGUGCCACAUGAAUCUCUGGUAAUUCCUAGAGGUGAUGGAUGUGCGUGUGUCUCCGGCGUGAGAACGAGGGCAGGGACCAGAGCAGGGUGAGAGGGACCGCCCCUCUUUGGAUGGGGAGCCGGGUUCUGGAAACUGGGGUCUAGAGUUCUGGACAGGUACUCUGAGGAUGGACUCAAGACCAGGUGUGAAGUCGCCUGGGGCCCUUAAUUCUAUAGUCAGCGUGGCUUCCUCCUGGCUUGGUCCACUGGGAGUUAUCUGCCCAGCUCUGGCUUCAAGAGUACAGACUCGCUUUCCUGGCCGAGGGGGGUGCCCCUGGGGGCGCGGGGUACAGGGAUAGCGGUAGUUAGGGUGUGUGUCUAUCUGCGUGAAUGUGUGUGUGACUGCCAUGUGUCAUCCAUCCCUCUUGGAGGAGCCGAAGGGGUGGGGGGAGGAUUAGGAGCAAAUCCUAGAGUGGGAAGAUGCAAAGUGGUUCCCCCUGCCCCCCGCCCCACUGCAGGAAAUGGCACAGUCUGACCCCCUCUUCCCCUCUCUGUCCCCUUGGCAGCUUGGCCUCUGUAAGGCCACAAGCAACUGUAUGGAAUAAAAUAUCUACGUUCUGCUUCA